rnacentral:rRNA from 1 species
UACGUAGGGGGCAAGCGUUGUCCGGAUUUAUUGGGCGUAAAGAGCGUGUAGGCGGUUUGGUAGGUCCGCUGUGAAAACUCGAGGCUCAACCUCGGGACGCCGGUGGAAACCAUCAGGCUAGAGUCCGGAAGAGGAGAGUGGAAUUCCUGGUGUAGCGGUGAAAUGCGCAGAUAUCAGGAAGAACACCCGUGGCUAAGGCGGCUCUCUAGUACGGUACUGACGCUGAGACGCGAAAGCGUGGGGAGCGAACAGG